rnacentral:rRNA from 1 species
GACGAACGCUGGCGGCGUGCUUAACACAUGCAAGUCGAACGGAAAGGCCCUGCUUUUGUGGGGUGCUCGAGUGGCGAACGGGUGAGUAACACGUGAGUAACCUGCCCUUGACUUUGGGAUAACUUCAGGAAACUGGGGCUAAUACCGGAUAGGAGCUCCUGCUGCAUGGUGGGGGUUGGAAAGUUUCGGCGGUUGGGGAUGGACUCGCGGCUUAUCAGCUUGUUGGUGGGGUAGUGGCUUACCAAGGCUUUGACGGGUAGCCGGCCUGAGAGGGUGACCGGCCACAUUGGGACUGAGAUACGGCCCAGACUCCUACGGGAGGCAGCAGUGGGGAAUAUUGCACAAUGGGCGGAAGCCUGAUGCAGCAACGCCGCGUGCGGGAUGACGGCCUUCGGGUUGCAAACCGCUUUCGCCUGUGACGAAGCGUGAGUGACGGUAAUGGGUAAAGAAGCACCGGCUAACUACG